GGGCCUGUGGUGUAAUCUGGAUAGCACACUUGGCUUCGGACCAGGUAAUCGGGGUUCAAAUCCUCGCAGGCUCG
rnacentral:tRNA from 1 species